GGAACAUGACUAAGCUACACUAUGCUAAACUACACUAAACAGGUAUUGUAUAAUUCUUCUCUACUCUUUUAUUCAUCUGAUGGUGGUAUUUAUACUGAUACAGCAGUGGGAUAAGCUUAGCCAGACUAAGCAGCUGUAAGAAGAAAGCAGAACGCAAGGGAAAGGAUCCACUCAUAACAGAAAGCAUAACAGAAUUGGGAGUGGGGAAUCAAAUUGGUUGUUUCGACCUCGUAGGGUGCUGUAGUGAGCAUAUCCUUAUCAAUCUUAUGAAUUGUCAAUAUGAUUCAUACGAAUUACAAAUUCAUAUGUUUAUUAGCAUAGAUAGACCAAAGUUGCAGAAAAAAAUUAUGCUUCAGCCGUUACACCGCAACAUCAAUCACGAUGACAACCACCAACAAACCAUCGCAACAAUACACCUCCAUCAAACCAGCUACAAUAAGAAAGGAGGAACUCCGGCAAAAGAAAACGAAAAUGAAAUAAAUGGUGUAUGAAAAAAAUAAAGAAAGGAAGGAAGAAGAAACUAACAGGAGUAAUUUUAGAAUAUUUCAAAAAGUGUUGGGUUUAAAAUCCUUUAGAAAUAUGCAAUUGAUGAAUUUCCAUUCCAGUAUGUAUAAAAAAAAAUCCCGUCCAUGAC
rnacentral:lncRNA from 1 species